GUCCUAUGUGUACCCUGAGGUCAUAGUCAGGCAUUCCUAGUCCCCAGCCCAGACCCACAGAAUUAUCCUCAAGGACAAGAUCCAGAAUUGUUUGAAAACCAGUGCCUCCAAUUUUUUCUAAUACACAGCCAGAUUUGGGAGGCACUUGGAAAACAGAAUAUUCACCAGAUCAAAUGUUCAUCAGAUCAAAUGUUCACCAGAUCUACACACUCUGUCUGCAUAGUGGAAUAGUUCGCUUUUAACAAGAAAAGUGAAAACAAACCAAAACACAGAUGCUGGUGCAUAGCCACAGAAUGCAUCUCAGAGCCUGACCCUCCCAUUCCAUGAGUGCUGGUGGAAAUGUGAAAGGUGCAACACAAUCAAUCAACAUGCGUAGAAAACUCAAAAAAGACACCACUUACUAACAGUCAUUGUUUUCUUGCACUUAUUACUUAUUUCUAGCAUGUUUUCUCAUUUUACCUUCAGUUCCUACAACUAUGGGAGAGAGGGCUUACAUAGCCCCAGGUUCCACAUGAGGCAUGACUCAACCCUAAGAAGAAAAUGAGUCCCCAGUACAAGA
rnacentral:lncRNA from 1 species